UCAUUUUAAAGGGACGGGCUCUUUUCCUUUAUGCGUGCUCUGCUCGAUCUAGACGGGCAUGGCGCCGUCGGCGGCGGCAGGUCUUUUUCUCCGGCCAUCCGCCGGCCUGUUCUCCUUCCCCUCCCGAUCCGCCCCUAAUACUCUCCGGCGCCACCCGCAGCCUCUUCAAUCUCGAACCUCCUGCACAUGUGUCGUGCUUCUCUGACUGGGAUCAGAGUUGGAUUUUGUGUCCUCAAAUCCAUGGAGUAGCCACCAAAUUCCGUCGAAUCGCCGCGUCAACCUCCCCGCGGCGGCCGCGCCGCCCAGGAACCCCAGCCAUCGCUCCUGCCAGGCCAGGCUCCGCUGCCGAGGUCCCGCGUCGCCAUUUGAUCCCCAAGUGCCUAUCCGCCAUCUCAACGGCCUCACCCAGCGAGCUCGCCUGGACCCUGAGGUCAUUGGAGCGAGCCUCCACCAGGCCACCCGACGCGCCAAUGAUCCCGUGUGCUGCCGCUCGAAGCUCCCCUGCUCGCUGCCCUCCACGCACCGCCGCCCUGGCCUAGCAGAUUAAUGGAGGGCGCGACCAACUUUGGUUCGUGCCUCGGUGCUCCUCGCCGUUCACCAGCUGCCGCAUCCAACUUCUCCACUAUGGGAGUUCAUUAUGGCACCGUACAACCACCAAUUAAUAGAGAACAUGGGGGAAGGGAAAGGAGAUGAUGCAGCCGGCGCUAUGUCGAACCAUCGACGCGGCAGACGCAGCAUACAAAUGCCCUGUAGGUGGCCGGACCUGGGGAUCUCCAUCAAGGUCGACAACGAGUUGUAGUACUGUGUCCAGCCAACAACUCCUUUUGCUUCUCAGGGGAGGACACUGGUCGUUUGGUUAAAAAAAGGAGUGUGGGAACUCGUCAUCCUUUCUCAAACAUUCUCACUCAGUCAAGUGCCAAGGCAACAAGACGAUGAGUUCAGUGCAAGUCUUCAGGCUGUAGGGCUAAUCAUAGGCAAAGAAGUCUGGACUUCCGUGGGUUUGCAUGAACGAUUUUGAAAUGAAGAAUAGUUGUUAAGUUAUUAUUUUUGCUAGAAGAGUAGCGUCGCAAAAGAGUAUUGCUGGGGAAGUAACUGGAGCACAUGCUACUAUUUUUAUAGGAAAGACCCUAAAUGACCCAACUUUUGCAAUCUACAGAUGUUGCUUAUGAAAUCGGUAGAGCCAUGCAUCUGCAAUUAUCUAUUAGCAACAUCAGGAGAGGUUCAAGAUUACAUUCAAGGAGAGAACACAAGCAUGAUGAUACUCAAUAAAGUGAAGCAAUGGGCAGACUUGCAAGAGAGGGAGUAGUCCGGGCCUAUCACACAAUGUAAAUAUGUGAACUGCUCUUUGCAAAAUCGCUACAAAAUUCAUGUUAAUUUCCUGCAAAUGAAUAAGGUAUGAUUUUUUUGUAUGAAUUUCUAUUUUGCGUUGUCUAGGCUUUGCAAGGUGGCCAUGACUAAUAUUAUUGUAAAAAGCACUGUAACUUUUGCCUCGAAUGAAACAAGGUCUUUGGGCGAGACAGUAAGCACCCAAAACAUUUUUUCUUGCUUCUUUCUUGAAUUUCCGGUUAUCCUCUAUUCCCCUGCUUCUUUUUCACUGGUUGUGAAUCAUCCGUUGCUGUCACUAAAUUCAUGUUGGAAUAUCUACAUCGAUUUGACAUAAGCACAUUGAUGAGAGUGCUUGAAGCUGCCACAGUUAAGCUAGAGCUAUUUUAUUUUAUUUUUAUUUUGCGAAGAAGAGCCAUCUCAAUUUAAAGUGUGAGCUGUUUGUGUUUUCAAUACCAGACCUGUUAUCGAUUUUUAUUUUUUUGUAGUGAAGCUAGCUGCUGUUAUGUUGGAAACCGAACUUACUGCAUCUAGAAAAGAAUACUCAUUGUGCCACCAGUUAGUAGCAAUUAAUCGAAUCCCGAUGGUUAGAAGCAGGUUUCACUUUUUAUGCUGAAAACUUCUAUUAUUAUUUUCCUUGAUGAGUUUUGAUUUGUUCCAAUUGCUGAUUGGCUGGCUUGGUUUUAUGAUUUUCCGAGUAUUUUUCUAUUAUGACAUUCUUAUAUUCCUUCUUUUUGCGGGUUAACAUUCUUAUAUUCGUCUUCAUAUACAAUUGGAUAGUUUUGCUUUUCUUCAGGCUGGGGGCUCAUAUCUCUCCCUAAUAAUAAAGCACGGAUAGGGUCUCCGGGUUCACCGUCGUGCACUUUUGUAAAGAAACCCCUGUUGAUUUCGGUAUUGUACGCGCAGUCCUCACAAUAAGUUAACACGAACCGGUACGCCAGAGAAAAGGAAAGAAAAUCAGCCCCCCUCUCCCCGCACGCCCUGCCUCCCAAUCCCAUCUCCAACCCCUGCCACGCCCCUCACCGCGCGCCGCCGUGCGCCACCACCAGCCACCACGCCGGCGCGCCUACCCCUCCCCGACCGGCUACACGCAGAUGAUGCUCGAGUGCACCUUCUGGCUCGGUUCAAUGCGGCGGCUCGAGCGGUUGGGGGUGGCACAGCAGCUCGAUGCAGAACAGACGGCGGCGGCUGGAGCUUGCAGGGGCGGAUCCGUGCAUGGCAGGGGUUGGGGAGGCUGAUCCGAAAGCGGGCGGCGAGGAGGGGGUCGCCGGUGGCGACGAGGAAAGCCGGAGUGAGGGAUCCGGCGACCUAGGCAGGAGCUCGCCGGAGCUGGGCGACGGCAGACGGGCGCGUGAGACGGAGGGAUCCGGCGUGGCAGCACGAAUUUCUUGCAGGUAGAUAGCUCCAAGCCAUGCCAGCUCUUCAGUUUUCCCUGGUGGAAAAGAGAGAAAGAGGAGGAUUCAGGGAGGAGGAGAGGUAGGGAGAAGAAGGUGCAGGUGCGAGCUUGGGGAAGAGGGAGCAGAACGUCAAGUGAGAGACUGUGAGGAUCAGGGAUUCUUGUUAGCCAGCAUGGUAAGGUGGAGAGGCUGCUUAGGGAACAUGUGCGUACAUCCUUGCUCCUUUUCUUCUUUCAGUUGUAUGUACUUUCCAGCAGGCGUGUACAUCCUUGCUCCUUCUCUUAUUUUGAUUUUAGGUACUCUCCAGUAUUCAAUGUGCAUGUAGAACCGUAGAGAAUCAGCUAGAUAUUUUACUACUGUAUAAGGUGUGGAGUGCUGAGAGUGGCAUUUAUAUUGCUGCAAAUGCAGUAUAUGAUUUAUGCAGCAGAGAGGAGGCUGCAAGGGGAGAGGAACGGUGCAUUGAGGUUGAGGUACACAGGACACAUCGGGACCCGGGAGCUCCAGAAGAGGCUCGAUCGAUCUUGACAAGAACAGACUAUAUAUAGUGCAGAGAAGAUGAACCAUGCAAAAACUCAGGCUGGACCACCGGGGCUUCACUGCUGGCGGAACAGUAGAGGGCUUGGCUGCUACCAGGGUGAUCCAAAUGGAGCGUGUUUGUGGCCUCUUGCACUGCAUGAUUAAUGGUAGCUUCUAUUACAUGACAUGAUUUUUGCAGCUGACAUGUUUCAUGCGAGAGGACAUAAAUUUGCAUCCUAUUUUUCUGUCCAAUUGGUUCCAAAUCACAAAUGUUUGUGCUAUCAGUGACAAUUUGAUGGAAAAGACGAGUCAUAUAUACAGCCAAUGAAAGCUUUCACAUCAGCCGUUGCUCUUGAUUGUCUUUGCAAGUCCAUAGAUAUAAUUUUUAUGAUUUUCCUUUACUCAUAGUAAGUACUGAAUAUUUUGUGCUUCAACCCUUUAGGUGUUAAUUUCUGUGAUGCAGCUAGCAAAGUUGGCAAUAGGUACAGUACUAUAACCAUCAUGAUCUGCACAGGGAUAUCACCUAGGUGCAUAAAUCAUAAUCAUUCAGUUUUUAUUUGGCAAGCUGGAGCUACCCAGAACUUCCGAUUUUGGUGCCAAGAUGGAUGGAUUGAACCGGGUGACCCACUGUCAGGUAUUAUUGUUCAGUUAUCCUGAGGGUAAUGUGGAUAUGUUCUGUUUGAGAUCAAAGCUUGGUAUUGCUAGAAAAUAUAUAUAUGUGCACUGAGAUUUCAAAUAUAUAACAGCACUGAUACAACGUAAGGUUUCCCUUGCUAUCGUACAUUUUUUCAUUACUAUCAUAACCUUUUUAGAUCAAGCAUGUCAUGCAUUACAUUUCAUUAUGUAUGUUGCAACUUCAAGACCACAAUGCCUCUGUAUGUAACAUCUGUAUGCUGAUUAUUUUUUGGAAUUGAAUUAUGUAUUCAAAGCUAUUGUUCAGCAUAUACAUCGUUUGAAAAUCAUACAAGGGGCAAAAUUUAUAUGUACCCUUCUGUUUUAAUAUAUGGCUAUAAAUGGAUUAACUGAGCCAAAGGCAGUGCCUUUUCAUACGAAUAUAUGUGUACGACAUCUUGAGAUAAUCAUAUAUGUUUGCCGGCAGAAUAUAUGUGCAUUGAACUACAAAUAAAUUUAUUUGUGGGACUUGAUGCCGGAUAUAUACAUAUUGCAUGUUCUCUUAGGGCAUCUGCAAUUGAUGGACGCCAGGAUUUAUUUUCCGAUAGACCGGCAGUUGUGUUAGUUGUUCCCAGUGUGCCCGGUACCAAUAGAUGCAUUGAGCGCUUUCUCUUUUCCUGGGCACGCGAGUAAAGAAACGGGUUGCCGGGCCUACGUAUUUAGAGCCGCUGAUAAGCGCCUAGCAUUGAAUGAGAAGGCGCUUACUUUUUUCUUAAUUUUUUGAUGUUUAACUUUUUACUCUUAAGUGCCUACACAAGAGUCUAGCAUUGCAGAUGUCCUUAAGCUAUAGGCUAUCGUAGUGGUUUUACCAAUCACAAAUAAGCGACCAAUGAUGAAACAAUAGUACAAAUUUAGAGCACAAUACAUCAUGAUCUAUUG